AUCAAUUAUUCUAUUGGUGUGUGAAUGUGUGUGAACCAAUCAUUCCAUUGGUGUGUGAAUGUGUGUGAACCAAUCAUUCCAUUGGUGUGUGAGCCAAUCAUUGCAAUGGAGUGUGAACCAAUCAUUCCAUUUGUUUGUGAAUGUGUGUGAACCAAUCAUUCCAUUGGUGUGUGAAUGUGUGUGAACCAACCACUCCACUGGUGUGUGAGCCAAUCAUUGCAAUGGAUUAUGAACCAAUCAUUCCAAUGUCGUGUGAGCCAAUCAUUGCAUUGGUGUGAGCCAAUCAUUCCAGUGGCACAUGUGCCAUCUCCCUGCCCGGCCUCCCUGCCGCUGCCAUCUUUGGCAGGGCACCUCCAGCCAUUACUGGUACCCUUGGAAGGGUCUUGGGAUGAUUUGCCUGAAGAACACUGGAUAAAAAAUUCCAGUGCCCUGAAGCUCCUCUGUGUGGGUGACCAGGUCAUCACUGCCCUUCCUCUGGAUGCCUUCCACUGUCUGCAAGGAGGUUUUGGGGUGCCUGGUAGCCCUUGGAGCCUUUCACCCUUUAAAUACCAAAGUAUUCAAUACGAGUGUAUUUGAUGCUUUUAAAAAUAAAUAGAUAAAUAAAGAAAUAACUGUAUUACAGACA